UGGCUAUAUGAUUAGCUGAAAUGAGAUGAAAACGUGGGGUAUUUUAAGGGUGGAGGGAGGGAACAACCGUCUCAGCAAGGAGAAGCAAGGACACCUACCCCAGCCACAGGCCCAGUUGUAAAGGGCUGUUCCCUUGUGCAGAGUAGAAACUGCUUCUGCUGGAAGUUGCUGCUAUCAAGUUGCUGACUAUCAAGACCAGUGUCCUUAGGAAAAAGCUGGAUUUUGAUUAAAGAAAGAAGGCAGAGGGAACUUCUGAAUAGGGAGAUUUUUCUGGUGGUAGACUAAGAAUUAUGAGUAAAUAGUGCAGAAUUUUCAGGAUAGGGAAGGGAUGGAAGGUAGGGAGUCAACUGAAGAGUGCCUUUUACAAGAUUUUGUGAAAUGGAGAUUCAGGGCACUUCGUGGUGAUAUUGGAAAGAAGAGAGUGAUAGAGCGACGUGUGUACAUAUAAAUAUUUAUCCACGUGCAUACAUCUGUAAGUAAGAGGGUACUUGAAGAAUUUCCUGAUGAUGAUCCAUUAAGAAAGAAACUAAUCUUGCAGCAAGAAGCUCAUCAAGAUCCACUUCUUCGGCACAGCAUAGCACACACCGAGAAAAAAACAGAUUGAUGGAAGACACUGGACGUCUCUUUACUUGGACUCCCUGGCAUAUCUACAAUUCCUUCCAAAGAAUAGCACCUUGGUUUGAUGUUAGAGGAUAGAACAUGCAUACUACGUAAGCCUAUUAAAUUAUGACAACUUCCACCCAUUAUGUCAUUAGCACUCGCUCUUCUGU